ensembl:lncRNA
GUUUUUUACUUUCAGGACACCGCCUCAUCAUGUACUCUUGUGAUCCGCAUCCAAUCAGUAAACGUAACCGUAAAUGGAUAAAAAGUCAUUAAUAAAUAAAGUGAAUCAGUAGACAUGGGCACGGCGCGCCGGGACCUGGAUUAGCGUCGUCGCUGCGCUCCGUACCGAGCCCCACGUGGGGUUUGUUGGGGUUUAUUCGUGCCAAGACGAAUAAUCAGUGCCAUCUGGAGCGACUCCAUCACAUCACGCUCUCAGCUCCACUUUGUUCCGAGAUGUCCCGGUGUAGCCGCAGUGACCCGCCGUCCCCGCUGUUCAGGAUGUCUCUCGCUAAUGAGGAUGAGCUAUUAUCCACUCGCGCCGCCUUUCAGCUUCCCCGUGCGCCGCGGCUCCCGAGUCGGUCUGCCGUAAACCAGAACCAGGGUAAGAAACGGCCCGUGAUGAGCAGGAUGCAAACCUCCACCCUUCGGGAGCUCGUUAGAGGCUGUCGCUUAUCACGUCCCCUCUUCAUCGGCCGUUUCCUGCGCACUUCAGGGUGGCGCCGGCUUCCGUAGGGAGCGCGUAAAUAAACGCAUUUGUCACUUCUUCUCAAAGCAAAUUGCAUCGCGGGCCAUAAUUAUACGGCAGGGCUCCUCUGACUGCUUUAUAAUGCAGAUGAGGCGACGGAGACAGCGGGCUUCGGCUCGGCUUUUGGGAGCUUUCUUCUCACUUUUAUCAUUUUUUUUUUGUUGUUGUUGUCAGUUUAAUAUGUAUUUUUAUAAUGAAAGCCAGAGGAGGUCGAGUUCAUUAACGCGUCAGCCGACAGCGGCCGGGUCUGUGUCUAGCUCGGCGUUUUCUCCGGUACUUUACUUCCCACGUCAUCUCAAGGACGUUACAACCGGGCACCGGAUGAAACACGACCUCCGCGGGGAUCUUUCCGGAAAUCGGCGUAGUUCCAGCGCGUAUAUCCGCUUUCUGACGCCGCUUACGAUCUUAAUUUAAUCCCCCGAUAUACCGCAACGCAAAAAAAUGUCUGUUUAUCUAAUAACGGCCGUGACUCCCGUCGCGUCGUCGUUCGUUUAGUAAUUGGGAACUGACGUUAAUAUAAGUUCUACGUUGUCCUCCAACUCCCAUGCCCCCCACCCCCAUCACAAAUAAAAAGAAUUCCCAUACUUGAGGUGUGUGGGGUCAUGCGGAGCUUAAAACUUUAAAAACUUUCCGCUGUUGUCGUGAUUGUCGUCAUGAACGGCGUUUUUACUAUGAACUCUUGACUUUACGUUCAAAAGUAUUUACUACAUUUCUGAAAAUCCAUAAGUCUGGUG